rnacentral:rRNA from 1 species
GCUACCAUGCAAGUCGCACGGGUGGUUUCGGCCAUCAGUGGCGGACGGGUGAGUAACGCGUAGGAACGUGUCCAGAGGUGGGGGACAACCCCGGGAAACUGGGGCUAAUACCGCAUGGGGGCUGAGGCCCAAAGCCGAGAGGCGCCAUUGGAGCGGCCUGCGUCCGAUUAGGUAGUUGGUGGGGUAAAGGCCUACCAAGCCUGCGAUCGGUAGCUGGUCUGAGAGGACGACCAGCCACACUGGGACUGAGACACGGCCCAGACUCCUACGGGAGGCAGCAGUGGGGAAUAUUGGACAAUGGGCGAAAGCCUGAUCCAGCAAUGCCGCGUGGGUGAAGAAGGUCUUCGGAUCGUAAAGCCCUUUCGACGGGGACGAUGAUGACGGUACCCGUAGAAGAAGCCCCGGCUAACUUCGUGCCUGCAGCCGCGGUAAUACGAAGGGGGCUAGCGUUGCUCGGAAUUACUGGGCGUAAAGGGCGCGUAGGCGGCGGCCCAAGUCAGGCGUGAAAUUCCUGGGCUCAACCUGGGGACUGCGCUUGAUACUGGGUUGCUUGAGGAUGGAAGAGGCUCGUGGAAUUCCCAGUGUAGAGGUGAAAUUCGUAGAUAUUGGGAAGAACACCGGUGGCGAAGGC